GCCACUUUAGCUCAGCUGGCCAGAGCACCGCACUUGUAAUGCGGGGGUCCCCAGUUCGAAUCUGGGAAGUGGCUCCA
rnacentral:tRNA from 4 species